rnacentral:rRNA from 1 species
AACGAACGCUGGCGGCAGGCUUAACACAUGCAAGUCGAACGCCCCGCAAGGGGAGUGGCAGACGGGUGAGUAACGCGUGGGAACAUACCCUUUUCUACGGAAUAGCUCUGGGAAACUGGAAUUAAUACCGUAUACGCCCUACGGGGGAAAGAUUUAUCGGGGAAGGAUUGGCCCGCGUUGGAUUAGCUAGUUGGUGGGGUAAAGGCCUAUCAAGGCGACGAUCCAUAGCUGGUCUGAGAGGAUGAUCAGCCACAUUGGGACUGAGACACGGCCCAAACUCCUACGGGAGGCAGCGGUGGGGAAUAUUGGACAAUGGGCGCAAGCCUGAUCCAGCCAUGCCGCGUGAGUGAUGAAGGCCUUAGGGUUGUAAAGCUCUUUCACCGAUGAAGAUAAUGACGGUAGUCGGAGAAGAAGCCCCGGCUAACUUCGUGCCAGCCGCCGCGGUAAAAC